rnacentral:misc_RNA from 1 species
GCAAACUUGGUCAUUUAGAGGAAGUAAAAGUCGUAACAAGGUUUCCGUAGGUGAACCUGCGGAAGGAUCAUUAUCGAUUCAAAGGGGGAUGUUGCUGGCGAAGAAUAGCUUUUCUUUGCAUUGUGCACUCCUUCCAUCUAUCUUAACCCCUGUGCACAUUCUGUAGACUCUUUAAGGACCUUGUCCUUAAUUAAAUGAGUCUACGCAUUUUUACACACCAAUGUAUAAAUUUCUUAAUGAUUAAAUUGUAAUCCAAUACAACUUUCAACAAUGGAUCUCUUGGUUCUCGCAUCGAUGAAGAACGCAGC